AAGUCGUAACAAGGUUUCCGUAGGUGAACCUGCGGAAGGAUCAUUAACAAUAAUAUUAUAUUAUAAUUUAUACCGAGGAAAUAUAACCGUUAGGUUAUAUUUGCUUGGAAUAAAUUAGAUAUUAAUCAAUGAUAUCCACCCUUUCAAAUGUGAAACUGUUUAAAACGUAGUUUAUGACUUUUUGGUUUAGGUGUUUUGAAUCUUUUGAGGUUUGAAACGAUAAAUUGCCUGCCAAAAGUUUUUCUGUUUAAAACUAACUUUGCUAAAUUAUUUGUUGAAUUAUAACUAAUCAUUCUUUUAUGGAUGAAUAAACUUAAUACAACUUGCAACAAUGGAUCUCUUGGUUCUG
rnacentral:misc_RNA from 1 species